rnacentral:rRNA from 1 species
AUUGAACGCUGGCGGCAUGCCUUACACAUGCAAGUCGAACGGCAGCACGGGAGCAAUCCUGGUGGCGAGUGGCGAACGGGCGAGUAAUACAUCGGAACGUGCCCAAUCGUGGGGGAUAACGUAGCGAAAGCUACGCUAAUACCGCAUACGAUCUACGGAUGAAAGCGGGGGAUCGCAAGACCUCGCGCGAAUGGAGCGGCCGAUGGCAGAUUAGGCAGUUGGUGAGGUAAAGGCUCACCAAGCCUGCGAUCUGUAGCUGGUCUGAGAGGACGACCAGCCACACUGGGACUGAGACACGGCCCAGACUCCUACGGGAGGCAGCAGUGGGGAAUUUUGGACAAUGGGCGCAAGCCUGAUCCAGCAAUGCCGCGUGCAGGAUGAAGGCCUUCGGGUUGUAAACUGCUUUUGUACGGAACGAAACGGUCCUUUCUAAUACAAGGGGCUAAUGACGGUACCGUAAGAAUAAGCACCGGCUAACUACGUGCCAGCCGCCGCGGUAA